UUAAUUUAUUUUAAUCUCAAAAUUUAUAGAGUUAAUUUAUUAUUAAUUUAUUGUUGAAUAAAUAUUUAAAAAAUAUUAUUAGUUUAGAAAUUAAUUCGUUAUAUUAUAUUUAGUUAUUUAAGAUUUAAAUUCAAUUUUAAAUUUUAAAAGUUUAUAAUUAAUUUAAAUUAUGUAAAUUUUAAAAUUAAAUUAUUUUAGGGAUAGCUUGAAAUUUUUAUAUAAUUAAUUUUAGUUAAUAAAUAAUUAAUAGGAUUAGAAAUUUUUAUUUUAAGUUUGUAAAAAUUUAUUAUUUUUUAUAUUUAGAUUUAUUAAAAUUUUAUUUAUUUUUUAUAUUAAAUUUUAUAAAUAAAUUUUUUAUUUAUAGUAAUAAUGAUUAAAUUAGUAUAGUUGAUAUUUGUAAAUUAUGAAUUCGACAAAAAUUAUUUUCAUCUGUUUAACAAAAACAUUGUAUUAAGUUUUAUUUAAUAUAGGAUCUGCUCAAUGAGAUAUUUAAAUAGCUGCAGUAUUUUGACUGUGCAAAGGUAGCAUAAUAAUUAGUCUUUUAAUUGGGGACUUGUAUGAAAGAUUUGAUGAGAGAUAAACUUUAUUAUUUACAUAAUUAAAAUUUUAUUUUUAAGUAAAAAAGCUUAAAUAUUUUAAAGGGACGAUAAGACCCUAUAAAACUUUAUAAAUAAAAAUUUUUAAUUUUUUUGGUAUAAUAUAUAUUUAAAUAUUUUUAUUUAUUUUAUUGGGGUGAUAAAAAGAAAUAAUUAACUUUUUUUAAAUUUUUACAUUAUUUAAUGGAAUUUUGAGUUAAAAUUUUUAAUUAAAGGAAAAAGUUACUUUAGGGAUAACAGCGUAAUUAGUUUUUUAAGUUCAAAUUUGAAAAUUAGUUUGCGACCUCGAUGUUGAAUUAAGAAUAAUUUUAGGUGCAAAAUUUUAAAUAUUAGGUCUGUU
rnacentral:rRNA from 1 species